AUGAUCUCCCACACUCAGCUUCUCUGGAUACUAGUUUUUUGGAUUCAGGACUCCACUGGGCAGAAAGUGCUGACCCAGACUCCAGAAUCUCUAUCGGUCUCUCCACGAGACACAGUCACUAUCAAAUGCAGAGCCAGUGAAAGUGUUAGCAGUUACCUAGCUUGGUACCAACAGAAAUCCGGACAAGCUCCUAAGCUCCUUAUCUAUGGUGCUACCACCCGUCCCUCUGGGAUCCCAGACCGGUUCACAGGCAGUGGGUCUGGGACUUAUUUCACUCUCACAAUCAGCAGGGUUGAAGCUGAAGAUGCUGGAGAUUAUUACUGCCAACAAGGCUACAUCCCUAUCACGGUGAUACAGACCAAUACAAAAACCUCCCUGAGCGAGGGCACAGUCCUGAGC